UGUAAUUACCCCCAAACUCAAUCCCAGCCUUCUCGUUAUGGUAUGGAACCUUGUAGUACAAUUUUAGAGAGAUCCAUACACUUAAACACAAGUUAUUGUCUGGAAACUAGAAAAAUGCUUGUUUUUUGGUCCCUUUUUUGCCCCUAAUUCCUGAACGUUUAGGGCAAUUAACCCCAAACUCAAUCCCAGCCUUCCCUUUGUGAUAUGGAAUCUUGUGGUACAAUUUCAGAGAGAUCCAUACACUAACACACAAUUUAUUGUCCGGAAACUACAAAAAUGGUUGUUUUUGGCCCCUUUUUCCUAAACUGUUGGUACCAUCACCCACAAAAUCAAUCUCAACCUUCCUUUUGUAGUAUUGAUCCUUCUGGUAAAACAAUAUUCAAGCUUGAUACUAUCUGAAUUUGGAUUGUGAUCAAAUUUUUGACAUAAUAUGGGUUUCUGACACAAAAUAAAUGUGGUCAAGAUCUUAAAAAUUUGAAAUGGGACAUUUAAAUUACCUAGAAUGGUCUGAUAUCCAAAAUCUAACAUGGUUCAAUUCAGCAUAUAUAAAAACACCAAUAAUUUAAUUUUAGUUGAAAUCAAACAAAGUUUAAUUUUGGACCCUUCAAACCUUAAUAUGAACUAAUUUAAAAACAGGGCCCAAAAUAAAAAUCUAAAUGCACAAUAAGAUUCAGCAAAUCAUACAGCCGCAAUAAUUCAGUUUUUGAUGAAAUCAUACAAAAUUUAAUUUUGGACCCUUUUAACCUCAAUGUAGACCAAUUUAAAAAUGGGGCCCAAUAUCCAAAAAAAUUAUACAAGGUUAGAACCCCCAAAAAUUAAAGACUUAAAAUUAAUCCCACUGAAAUUGGUUAAAAGAUUUGUAUUUAUUUUCAAUUGAAGAUUUCUUGCUAUUGCGCAAUUAAAUUUCUUGCUUUUUUGCAAUACUGUGCAAUUGAAGAUUUCUUGCUAUUGCGCAAUACUGUGCUGUUGCACAAUACUGUGUUGUUGAUACAAUUGAAGAUUUCUUGUUAUUGCGCAAUACUGUGCAAUUGAAGAUUUCUUGCUAUUGCGCAAUAUUGUGCUAUUGCACAAUACUGUGCAAUUGAAGAUUUCUUGCUAUUGCGCAAUUGAAGAUUUCUUGCUAUUGCGCAAUACUGUGCUAUUGUACAAAACUGUGCAAUUGAAGAUUUCUUGCUAUUGUGCAAUACUGUGUUGUUGCGCAAUACUGUGCUAUUGCACAAUACUGUGCAAUUGAAGAUUUCUUGCUAUUGCCCAAUACUGUGCUAUUGUACAAUACUAAACUAUUGUGCAAUACUGAGCAAUUGAAGAUUUCUUGCUAUUGCGCAAUACUGUGCAAUUGAAGAUUCAAAAAAAUU